UUUUCUUCUAAUCUUGAUAGUUUUUAACUGUCAAUUUGACCCUUUUUAUAGGUUGUGCUUAAAAGACAUUGUCAAUGAACAUACUAUGUGCCCCACAAGCUCAACUUUGGGCGAUUAUACUUUUGGUUGGUAAAUUUGACAUCCCUAAAAGAAACUAACCCGAUUUUUUUGUUAAGAUGAAAAAAAUGAAGGUUUGGUUGAUAAAUUUCGGCAAAGUGAUGAGCCUUCAGACCUUGAACCCGAUUUUUUUGUUAAGAUGAAAAAAUGAUGAAGGUUUGGUUGAUAAAUUUCGGCACGUGAUGAGCCUUUAGACCUUGUGUAUUGUAUAGCCGACGCUUCUGCCUUUCCACUUUCCACGAGUAAAAAAAUCUAACGAUAUCUAAGAGAACUAGCCUAUAGUAGUCGGCCUAACCAAAGCCUCACGACAACAUAA
rnacentral:lncRNA from 1 species